rnacentral:lncRNA from 1 species
UUAGCUUUGGUUUCUAUAAGAAAGCAACAAUCAACGUUGAAUCUAUCAAUUAGCCGAGAGCAGCGGAACAUUGUUAGGGGAUUUCCCAUUCCCCUAACAUUCCAGCUAAGGACCUUCAUAGCUACUUGGGAGGCUGAUCAAGGACAACCUGCCUGAACCUUUCGGCAGAGGCAAUAACAGCAGUAUCAUUUUCAACGGUUACAUCAAAUUAAAAAACAAUUAGGACAAACAACAUUGAUAAAAAUAGCAAAAGAAACAACAAUAGAAACAACAGUUGUAAAAGCAGUAGAGACAACCAUAGAAAAUUUAGAAACAGAAGAGACAUUUAAAGCAGCAGUAGUUGAAUCAUCUUGAACAGAAAGAGGAGGUUCAUUCCAGUUUGCAGCUAGAUCAAUAUUUGGGGAAAAUGGGGGAGAUGGCCUUCUUUGUGGCGAUGGGGGGCUAGUUGCAGUGGAGCUUUCCCCUGCAAAUAUUUUUUUCUUUUUUUGAUAAACACAUCUGGAAUCAUUGAUGGACAUAGCAUCAAAUCUUGCUUCAGCGUCACAGAGAACAAUAGUGGGAAAUGAGUUGGGUUCCGGACCUUCAAGGUUGGAAGUGUGUCUUCGUUUAGUAUCCUCAUGACCAUAAAAGGCAUCAGAAGAGUGUUCCUAUAGGGGAAUCAAAUCUAGGUACUAAAAAGGCAAAAUUACCACAGUUUGAUUGGGGAAGAUUGUGAUAAACCGCCACUCUAGGAACUUUCUAAAUCUAAAGUGAUAGUGAUGCAAUCAAUACUAACACGUGAUUGUAGAUUAAGAAAUUG